UACGAAGGGGGCUAGCGUUGCUCGGAAUCACUGGGCGUAAAGCGCACGUAGGCGGCUCUUUAAGUCAGCGGUGAAAUCCUGGAGCUCAACUCCAGAACUGCCUUUGAUACUGAGAGGCUUGAGUCCGGGAGAGGUGAGUGGAACUGCGAGUGUAGAGGUGAAAUUCGUAGAUAUUCGCAAGAACACCAGUUGCGAAGGCGGCUCGCUGGCCCGGUACUGACGCUGAGGUGCGAAAGCGUGGGGAGCAAACAGG
rnacentral:rRNA from 1 species